rnacentral:lncRNA from 1 species
AUUGGUCACCUAAUGUUCCUAUAUUCGUUUCGAAAAGCAUGUGCGCCACCCACUAGUCCAGCUAGUUCCACUUUCCUGAUUUUUCUCUUGAUGCUUAGGGUUUUCCCCUUUUAUCUACUCUACUAUGAUCUGCGUAGGUGCUUUCUGUCGUACUAGCAUUACUCCACCCUUCAAGCUAAACAACACAACACUCAAAAUUUGAAAGCUUAAUUGUUCAAAUAUGAUUGUGAUACGAUACUGAUAUUAGUUAACAGGCACAUUUAAUUGGUUAGCUAAAGGUCCCACUUGAGUUUCCAAGUGCAUGUCGCGACAUAUAGAGAGACAGCAGAAUUGCAUUUCUUUGUCACUUGUUGACUGUACUUUCUUGUCCAUACCAAAUCUUAGUUGUUAUUUCAAAGCAAACAUCGGUUGCUAACUACCCUUUGCAUAGUUUGCAGCUUCAGAUCUGCCAUCCCACUGCCACGGUCAACACUGUACUCAUCAUGCUUAUGGUUUCCCCAUUUUAUGAUGACCAUGAUCAGCCUACGUGGUUCGUGUCGUAAUAACACUGCUCCACCCAUCGAGCUAAACAAGCUUAGCUGUACAAAUUCAUAUAUGAUAUUAUGCUGAUAUUAGUAAAACUAAGAGAUGUUUAAUUGGUCAGCUAAAUGUUCCUACUUUAGUUUCGAAAUGCUUGUGAGCCACAUAUGGAGAGACCGGAAAGAAUAGUAUUUCUCUAUGCGCUCUGGUUCAUCAUGGGUGGCCAACCGACAUUGUAUUGAAAGACUUGUAAUAUCUUCAAUCUGCUUGCUCUUCUUCUCUUCUUUAAGAUGAUCAUCUUCUCUUGCGGUCGACUGGUCAGGUCGAGUUGUUCUCCCUUUUUAUAUUUUGAAUCUGUCAGGUCAGGUUGACUUGUUCUUCUUUACUAUAUGUUGAACAUGUCAUCUGCGAAGUGUCAUCACUUCUGGAUCUCUCAUAUUUUGAGUAGUAGGCCACAUUAUAUUAAUGCACACACCAAAUUACAGCAUGCAUGGCAUCUCUUAAAAGAAUUGCAGAGAUAACACAAAGGGGUUUACAGGGAGGCAGUAUUGGAUUAAAAUCACUUCUGCAUUACAAAGAUAAUCUCACUUGUUUUUAUGUUUUCAUGCAUGUCAGAUAUUGAACAUUAUCAAAAUGAAUAUAAGAAUGGGCAUACCAGAGGAAUAUUGCGGAACAAUCCACUGGCUAACAAACUUGGCAUGGUGGAGGAUGGCCUAUCUUAUUCACCCAUCAAGGUGCUUGCUCUAACUUGGCAAGGUUGUAUUGGUCGCACAUAUUUUGCAUCUGACCUCUUGCAUUACUUUUACUUUGUCACAUCAUCUUCUUAGUUUAAGCAUCAUAUAUGAGUAUAUGCCAUACCUAUCAAUUUUCUGUACCUAUUCCAUGUGUCGUCAUACUAUGUUUUUCCAGUCAAAUAUUGUUCUUUCGUAAUAGAUGUCCAAAAGGAAGAGGGUGAGUCCAGAUUCUCAAGGAGUACAAACUAGGUAUUUGGAAAAGGUAGUGAUACCUGUUAAAUUAGACAGAUCAGCAGCCACAGAAAACACAGGCCCAACUGUACAACACUUUACCCCUACUCUAGUGGCCAAACUGCUAUUAGAACUGUUGAGAGCCCAGCGUCAGGUACUGUCUAUGGUAUCAAUUCAAAAUUUGAACUCCUAAAUAUCUGCAUGUGCCUUACCUUCUCUCUUGUAUGAAAACUAAUUUCAGAUGAAUCUCCUUGCUCAAAGGAUCAUACGAUCUCACAACAAUGCUGGGCUCUGCAUUGCUCUUGUCAGUACCUCUCUCCCUUUUGCCUUGUAACGAUGUCCUUAAUUAAUUGCUAUUUGAUUAUGUAUCACCAGUCUGCACCCGAGCUUCAUUAUCCUCAGUUUCUUCAAAUAUUAUUUGAUCUAUAUUUACUCUUUGCAAAAUGUAGAAUAAUGGCAACGCUUAUAAAGAAUUUUCUUUGGGGAAUUUAUUGAAUUAUCCUUCCAUCAACAUGGAGAAGGGCUUUGUCCAGCCCGUGUUAACAUGUAAUGUAAGUUCAUCCUUCUCAAGCCUUCAAACAUUGUUCUAGUAUAGAUUUGGAUAGGCAUCAUUUCCUCCACUGUUGUUUGCUUUAUUGUUUACAUCUGAUUGGAUGUUUGCAACAACUACCAGUUUCAAAUUGUAGUUGUAAAAACAUGUUCCUUAUGCAGAACAGAUCCAUUUAUUUGCUUAUAUAAUUGUGAAACCUGUUACUUGUCUCCUUGUUUCUCUUUCAUAGUCGUAUCUCUUAUGCCUGGCAGAACUUUAGGGAAGAUAGUGAGCCAAACCAUCUUGAGGACAGCGAGAUGACCCCAAGGUCCUGUCUUGAUGAAGACAGUGAGUUGAAGCUACUCACCAGCAGGUGUGAGACAACCUCUAUGCAGUCACUGCCUCAAUCAGUUUGACUUCUUCAGUCUCAACUUAAAGCAGAAAGGCUUGCUUCAGCUUAGCUCUGAUUGAAGUCAAAGAUGUAAUGAAGAUGUCAUAGGACUGCCUCGCGCACCAACAUGCCAUACAGCUACGGGUGAUGCAUCUAUCACUGACACAACUGAGGUCUAAUCAGCUUGUUCAGCUAUUUGGGGGGGGGCAACCUGGCCAGGCCUAGUGCCUUCUGAAGUGCUCUCGGUUUUGUAUAUUCUUUUGUCAGCGUGUUUAUUUGCACUGGUGGUGAACUUUGAUGCCCAGUGGAUGUAAUAUGUGUAAUAGCCGUGAUAGCCUAGCGUAAGUUUGCUGCUUAUUUAUUUCCUUGUUAUCUUGUUUAUUUGUUUUCUUGUAGUUAGUGCAGUUCUUUUUCCACGGUUUGCUAGUGGCCGCAAUAACCUAUUUUUUAAAACUAGGCCACAAUAACCAUGGGCUACAUAUUUACUGUAGUGACACUGGGCCUCCUACGGGCCGUAGAAACAAUGGGCCUUCUAUGGGCGUAGAAACAAUGGGCCUUCUACGGGUCGUAGAAACAAUGGGCCUUCUACGGGCCGUAGAAAUAAUGGGCCUUCUACGGUUCGUAUCGUCAAUGGGCCUUAUUCGGGCCGUAUGAUCGAUUGGCCAAACAUGGGCCAAUAACAGACCGCAUUAUGGCCGUAAAUGGACUAGAGUUGGAAUCAUCCGUUCAUGGACCGACCAUAAUGGGUCGUCGUUAAUAGGCCGUAUUUGAUGAUGCAGAAAGGGCCCAACAUAUUAACGGGCCACAAACAGGCCGACUAUAAUCGCAGGUUGAAUUUGACCCACAAGCAGAAAAUGGCAGUAACGGGUCGUAAGGAACCGAAUGCUGGAAAUGAGUCCAAGAAUAAAUGGGCCCUGAGAAGGCCAAAAGAUAACAUGGGCUGGAAACUGCCCAACGGAAUAACGGGCCGUCAAUGGGGUAUCAAGUGACACACUGUUCAUUACGGGCUAGUUUCACCACGGGCCAUUAAUGGGUAUAAAGUGAUACACUAUUCAUUAUGGGCCAGUUUCACCACGGGCCGUUAAUGGGCCAAGAGUUACAAAGGGCCUCAUAUGGGUCGAAAGACGUCAUGGGGCAUACAUGGGCCAGAAGUUAAAACGGGCUGGAAUCAAAUUGGACGGCCCAGAUGACGCUAUUGGGCCUAAUUCGGAUAGGUCAUAACGGGCCCUGGGUUAGCGGGUUGUAAAUGGGCUAUAUGCGAACAGGCCAUUAACAGGCUUUCCAUGGGCUGGCCUGCCACCUUUUGACCAAGUCAAACGGGCCGGCCUUUUCACAGGAAUGGGCCUCUGUUGGGCCGUGCCAGGUGUCGACGUAUCAUAGGCGCCUUCUGUCCAAUGAGUGGAUGACAUCUGUCCAAACGUUGAGCCGACACGUGUUUCGUCCAGCCAAUGAUGAUUUUACACGUGGAAAAUCCCCAUUGGUCGGGGCUGUUAACGGGUUAUCGGAUCCAAAACUAGACCCGAUAGCUUAACGGCAUUCCGUUACGGUGGAUGCCACGUGUCGGUCACCCUUGACUAAAGCACUUCUGUGACGUAUGAUUUAUCGUCAUGAAAGUGGACACUUUCGUGAUGAUAAUUUUGGUAAUGUCAUGGAACACUUCUACGACAGCACAUGUAUGACUAUCUUGAUUCUGUCAUAAAAUCGUCAUGGAUGUACAUGCAUGACAAAAAACAUGACCUACCGUGACAAACACGUAUCAACACGGAAGUGUAUUUUUUUGUAAUGUUUAUGUGUGAUAGAACGUAUCGUAUCACGGGGUUUGGAUGCACCGGUGAAGUUUGCACCAACUCUCAAGGUACUGUAGAGGCUAGCAAUGAUGAAAGAGUGAGAGUGCGUAUAAUCCAUGGAUUCACAUUAGUCAUAAAGAACUCAUAUACUUAUUGCAAAAGUUUAUUUGCCCUUGAAGCAAAGUACUAGUACGCAUGCUCCCAGGGGAAGGGUUGGUAGGAGUUAACCAUCGCGCGAUCCCGACCUCCACACAUAAGGAAGGCAAUCAAAGAGCACCUCAUGCUACAAAUUUGUUACACAACUUUUACCAUACAUGCAUGCUAUGGGACUUACCAACUUUAACACAAGUAUUUCUCAAUUUCAUAAUUACCCAACUAGCACGACUCUAAUAUUACCACCUCUAUAUCUCAAAACAAUUAUCAAGUAUCAAAUUUAUCAUAGUGUUCAAUGCACUCUAUAUGAUAGUUUUUAUUAUACCCAACUUGGAUGCCCAUCAUAUUAGGACUAAUUUCAUAACCAAAGAAAAUACCAUGCUGUUCUAAAAGACUCUCAAAAUAAUAUAAGUGAAGCAUGAGAGAUCAAUAAUUUGUAAAAAAUAAAACCACCGACGUGCUCUAAAAAGAUAUAAGUGAAGCACUAGAGCAAAAUUAUCUAGCUCAAAAGCUAUAAGUGAAGCACAUAGAGUAUUCUAAUAAAUUCCGAAUCAUGUGUGUCUCUCCUAAAAUGUGUGUACAGCAAGGAUGAUCGUGGUACACUAAAAAUCAAAGACUCAUAUCAUACAAGACACUCCAAGCAAAACUCAUAUCAUGUGGUGAAUAAAAAUAUAGCCCCAAGUAAAGUUACCGAUAGACGAAGACGAAAGAGAGGAUGCCUUCCGGGGCAUCCCCAAACUUAGGCUUUUGGUUGUCCUUGAAUUUAUCUUGGGGACCCUUGGGCAUCCCCAAUCUUAGGCUCUUGCCACUCCUUACUCCGUAGUCCAUCAAAUCUUUACCCAAAACUUGAAAACUUCACAACACAAAACUCAACAGAAAAUCUCAUAAGCUCCGUUAGUGCAAGAAAGAAAAACCACUACUUAAGGUACUGUAAUGAAAUAAUUCUUUAUUUAUAUUGGUGUUAAACCUACUGUAUUCCAACUUCUCUAUGGUUCAUACCCCCCGAUACUAGUCAUAGAUUCAUCAAAAUAAGCAAACAACACACGAAAAACAGAAUCUGUCAAAAACAGAACAGUCUGUAGCAAUCUGUAACUUUCAAAUACUUAUGUAACUCCAAAAAUUCUGAUAUAAAUUUGCGGAUGUGAGGAAUUUGUCUAUUAAUCAUCUUCAAAAUGAAUCAACCUAAAAUCACUCUCCAGUAAAUAAUGGCAUCUAAUCUCGUGAGCGCUAAAGUUUCUGUUUUUUACAGCAAGAUCAUAAAGACUUCACCCAAGUCUUUCCAAAGGUUCUACUUGGCACAAACACUAAUUAAAACAUAAAACCACAUUUAAACAGAGGCUAGAUGAAUUAUUUAAUACUAAACAGGAACAAAAAGCAUGGAACAAAAAUAAAACCGGGUUGCCUCCCAACAAGCGCUAUCGUUAACGCCCCUAGCUAGGCAUAAAAGCGAGAAUAGAUCUAAGUAUUGCCAUCUUUGGUAUUCAAUUCAUAAGUGGCUCUCAUAAUAGAUUCAUAAGGUAAUUUGAUAUUUUUUCUAGGAAAGUGUUCCAUGCCUUUCCUUAAUGGAAAUUGGAAUCUAAUAUUUCCUUCUUCAUAUCAAUAAUUGCACCAAUCGUUCUAAGGAAAGGUCUACCAAGAAUAAUAGGACAUGAAAGAUUGAAAUCUAUAUCAAGAACAAUAAAAUCUACGGGCACAUAAUUCCUAUUUGAAACAAUAAGAACAUCAUUAAUUCUUCCCAUAGGUUUCUUAAUAGUGGAAUCCGCAAGGUGCAAGUUUAAGGAGCAAUCAUCAAAUUCAGAGAAACCUAGCACAUCACAUAAGGUUUUUGGUAUCGUGGAAACACUAGCACCCAAAUCACACAAAGCAUAGCAUUCAUGAUCUUUAAUUUUAAUUUUAAUAGUAGGUUCACACUCGUCAUAAAGUUUUCUAGGGAUAGAAACUUCUAAUUCAAGUUUUUCUUCAUAAGACUGCAUCAAAGCAUCAACAAUAUGUUUGGUAAAAGAUUUAUUUUGACUAUAAGCAUGAGGAAAAUUCAAAAUGGAUUGCAACAAGGAAAUACAAUCUAUUAAAGAACAAUUAUAAUAAUUAAAUUCCUUGAAAACCAAAAUAGUGGGUUCGUUGCUAUGUAAAGUUUUGACCUCUCCAAUCCCACUUUUACCAAUUUUAGCAUCAAGAUCUAUAAACUCUGAAUCAUUGCGACGCCUUUUAACUAAAGUUGACUCAUCUCCAUUCCCAUUAUUACCAAGAUUCAUAUUGCAAAACAAAUAUUUCAUAGGGGACACAUCAAUCACUUUUAGAUCUUCAUCAUUAUUAUCAUGAAAAUUAGAAGAACACACUCUUACAAAGCACUCUUUCUUAGCAUGCAUUCUAGCAGUUCUUUCUUUGCACUCAUCAAUGGAAAUUCUCAUGGCUUUGAGAGACUCAUUGAUAUCAUGCUUAGGUGGAAUAUAUCUAAGUUUCAAAGAAUCAACAUCAAGAAAAGUUCUAUCCAUGUUCCUAGCCAAUUCAUCAAUCUUAGGCAAUUUUUCUUCAAGCAAAGCAUUGAAAUUCUUUUGAGAGAUCAUAAAUUAUUUAACACUAAUCUAAAAAACAGAGGGCAUCUUAUUAAAAUUUCUAUAAGAGUUGUUGUAGGAAUUACCAUAAUUAUUAGAGGAAUUACUAGGAAACAGCCUAGGAUUAAAGUUUCCUCUAUACGCGUUGUUACCAAAAUUAUUCCUACCAAUAAAAUUCACAUCCAUAGAUUCAUUAUUAUUCUCAAUCAAAGUAGACAAAGGCAUAUCAUUAGGAUCAAUUGGAGCACUCUUAUUAGCAAACAAUUUCAUAAGUUCAUACAUCUUUCCACUCAAAACAUUAAUCUCUUCUAUCCCAUGAACCUUUUUACUAGUAGAUCUUUCGGUGUGCCAUUGAGAAUAAUUAACCAUAAUAUUAUCUAGGAGUUUAGUAGCUUCUCCUAAAGUGAUUUCCAUAAAAGUGCCUCCCGUGGCCGAAUCUAAAAGAUUUCUAGAAGCAAAAUUCAAUCCGGCAUAAAAAAUUUGUAUGAUCAUCCAUAAAUUUAAACCAUGUGUAGGGCAAUUGUGAAUCAUUAAUUUCAUCCUCUCCCAAGCUUGUGUAACAUGUUCAUGAUCAAUUUGCUUAAAAUUCAUAAUAUCGUUUCUAAGAGAGAUGAUCUUAUCGGGAGGAAAAUAUUUAGAGAUAAAAGCAUCUUUGCACUUAUUCCAUGAAUCAAUACUAUUUUUAGGCAAAGAUAAAAACCAAGUUUUAGCACGAUCUCUAAGUGAAAAUGGAAAUUGCUUCAAUUUAACAAUAUCAUUAUCCAUGUCUUUCUUCUUUUGCAUAUCGCACAAGUCAACAAAGUUGUUUAGAUGAGUAGCGGCAUCUUCACUAGGUAGGCCAGAGAAUUGAUCUUUCAUGACAAGAUUCAACAAGGCAACAUUAAUUUCACAAGAUUCAGCAUCGGUAAGAGGAGCAAUCGGAGUGCAAAGGAAAUCAUUAUUGUUGGUAUUGAAAAAAUCACACAAUUUAGUAUUAUCUUGAGCCAUCGUGACAAGCAAUCCAACACACAAGCACACAAAAGGCAAGCAAAAAAAAGGCGAAUGGGAAAGAGAGGGCGAAUAAAAUGGCAAGGGUGAAGUGGGGGAGAGGAAAACGAGAGGCAAAUGUCAAAUAAUGUAAUGCGAGGGAGAAGAGUUUGUGAUGGGUACUUGGUAUGUCUUGACUUGUGCGUAGACCUCCCCAGCAAUGGCGCCAGAAAUCCUUCUUUCUACCUCUUGAGCAUGCGUUGUUUUUUCCCUUUAAGAGGAAAGGGUGAUGCAGCAAAGUAGCGUAAGUAUUUCCCUCAGUUUUUUAGAACCAAGGUAUCAAUCCAGUAGGAGGCUAUACUCCAAGUCCCUUGUACCUGCACAAACAAACAAGAACCUCGCAACCAACGCGAUAAAGGGGUUGUCAAUCCCUUCACGACCACUUGCGGAAGUGAGAUCUGAUAGAGAUAAUAAGAUAAGAUAAAUAUUUUUGGUAUUUUUAUGAUGUAGAUUGGAAAGCAAAGAUUGCAAAAUAAAGUAGAUCGAAAACUUAUAUGAUGGAAAAUAGACCCGGGGGCCAUAGGUUUCACUAGUGGCUUCUCUCAAGAUAGCAUAAGUACUAUGGUGGGUGAACAAAUUACUGUCGAGCAAUUGAUAGAAAAAUGCAUAGUUAUGAGAAUAUCUAGGCAUGAUCAUGUAUAUAGGCAUCACGUCCAAGAUUAGUAGGCCGGGUCCUGCCUGCAUCUACUACUAUUACUCCACACAUCGACCGCUAUCCAGCAUGCAUCUAGAGUAUUAAGUUCAUAAGAAUAGAGUAACGCAUUAGGCAAGAUGACAUGAUGUAGAGGGAUAAACUCAAGCAAUAUGAUAUAAACACCAUCUUUUUGUCCUUGAUGGCAACAAUACAAUACGUGCCUUGCUGCCCCUGCUGUCACUGGAAUAGGACAUCGCAAGAUUGAAACCAAAGCUAAGCACUUCUCCCAUUGCAAGAAAGAUCAAUCUAGUAGGCCAAACCAAACUGACAAUUCGAAGAGACUUGCAAAGAUAACCAAUCAUACAUAAAAGAAUUCAGAGGAGAUUCAAAUAUUUCUCAUAGAUAAACUUGAUCAUAAGCCCACAAUUCAUCGGAUCUCGACAAACACACCGCAAAAAGAGUUACAUCGAAUACAUAUCCAAGAAGAUUGAGGAGAACAUUGUAUUGAGAUUCAAAGAGAGAGAAGAAGCCAUCUAGCUAAUAAUUAUGGACCCGAAGGUCUGUGGUAAACUACUCACAACUCAUCGGAGAGGCGUCGGCGUUGAUGUAGAAGCCCUCCAUGAUCGAUUCCCCCUCCGGCGGAGCGCCGGAAAAGGCUCCAAGAUGGGAUCUCACGGGUAUAGAAGGUUGCGGCGGUGGAUAUAGGGUUUCGUAGUGCUCAUGGAUGUUUUUGGGGUACACAGAUAUAUAUAGGUGAAGGAAGUCGAUCUGGGGAGCCAUGAGGGGCCCACGAGGGUGGGGGGCGCGCCCACCCCUCUAGGGCGCGUCCUAGACCCUCGUGGCCACCUCAUUUGCUUCUUGACGUCCACUCCAAGUCUCCUGGAUUGUGUUUGUUCCAAAAAUAACUCUCCCGAAGGUUUCAUUCCGUUUGGACUCUGUUUGAUAUUCCUUUUCUACGAAACACUGAAACAGGCAAAAAAACAGCAAUUUGGGUUGGGCCUACGGUUAAUAGGUUAGUCCCGAAAAUGAUAUAAAAGUGUUUAGUAAAGCCCAUAAACAUCCAAAGCAGGUAGUAUAAUACCAUGGAACAAUCAAAAAUUAUAGAUACGUUGGAGAUGUAUCAGGGUGUAUAGAGGCCAUAGCAAGCAUUCAAACUACUUAGAACUCUAAGAAUUUAACAUGGAAGAUCAUCUACAUCAACACCAAGAGUAGCUAAUUAUUCAAAAUAUAAACCACUAAAGCAAAAACUAAUUGGACACACGGAAGAGUAACAUGCCAAGCAACAAUCCCACGAAACAAUUUUUAAAAAUGGAGCUUCGAGCAAAGAAAUCGAAAUCCGCUGGGUUGAGAACAAGAACACGAAAGAGAGAGCAAUGGUGAUUUUUUUUCUAGAGGUAGGUGAUGAUGUGGGAUGAAGAGAUAAGUGAGAGGGCCCACGUGGGGACCACAACCCACCAGGAUGCGCCUGGGGGUCCUGGCGUGCCCAGGUGGGUUGUGCCCACCUGGUGCACCUCCCACUGAUAUUAUUUGCACAAACAAUUCUUAAAUAAUCAGGAAAAAUUGUAUUAAAUUUUCAGAGCUAUGAACUUUUAUUUCUGGGUCAUUUUUUAUGCACGGAAAAUUCCGAAAAAGGCAAAACAUGGCAUUUUAUUUUAUUUAACUAAUAAAAACAGAGAACAAAAGGUAGGGACAGAAGGUAGUGCUCACUAAAUUCAUCAACUUCAUAUCUCUCAAAAAUGAUCCUUUAAUAAGGUUGAUUAAGUCUUAUUAACAACCACUUUCGAUUAGCAUGAAACCGAAGAACUUUCAUGAAUCACUAAGUUACCUCAACGGGGAUAUGAAUAUCCCUAACAAUAAGCAUUUUAUAUUUCUGUUUAACAGUAGGUAGAGGUAGUUGAAAACUUCCAAUAGUGAUUGUCGGAGAUUUUUCAAUAACAUUAAUACCAUUCACUUGGAAUUUUUUCUUCAGAAAGUGCACUGUAUGCGCAUUACCAUUGAUAUGAAAAGUGACCUUGCUUUUACUGCAAUCAAUAGCAGCCCCUGCAGUAUUCAAGAAGGGUCUACCAAGGAUAAUCGACAUGUUGUCGUCCUCGGGCAUCUCAAGUAUAACAAAGUCAGUUAAGAUAGUAACAUUACCAACAACAACGGGCACAUCCUCACAAAUACCGAUAGGUAUGACAACUGAUUUGUCAGCCAUUUGCAAAUAUAUUUUAGUAGGUGUGCGUUUAUUCAAAUCAAGUCUUUUAUAUAAAGAGAAAGGCAUAACACUAACACCUGCUCCCAAAUCACAUAAAGCAGUUUUCACAUAAUUUCUUUUAAUGGAGCAAGGUAUAGUUGGUAUUCCCGGAUCUCCAAGUUUUUUAGGUACUCCAUCUUUAAAAGUAUAAUUAGCAAGCAUGGUGGAGAUUUCAGCUUCCGAUAUUUUUCUCUUAUUGGUCAUGAUGUCUUUCAUGUACUUUGCAUAAGGAGGCAUUUUUAAGAUAUCAGUCAAGCAAGUACGCAAAAAGACUGGCCUCAGCAUUUCAGCAAAGCGUUCAAAUUCUUCAUCAUCUUUAUUUUUAGUUGACUUAGGUGGAAAGGGCAUAGGUUUUUGAACCCAUGGUUCUCUUUCCUUACCAUGUUUUCUAGCAACAAAGUCUCUUUUAUCAUAUCUUUUAUUCUUGGGUUGUGGGUUAUGAAGAUCGACAACUGAUUCUAUCUCAACAUCAUUGUCUGGUUCUUUAUUAUUAGUUUGAGUGUGUUCAUGAACCUCGUCAUUAUCUUUUUCAUUAUCAGAAGGUGAGUGUUCACUACCAGAUUGAAUUUCAACAUCAAAGAUAGAAACUUCAUUAUCAUUAUCAGGAGGUUUUUCUAAUCAGGUUCACUAUAGGCAGGCAAAGUCCUAUUAUCUUUCUUCUUCUUUUUCUUUUUAGAAGGACUAGGUGCAUCAGUGUGAAUUCUUUGAGAGUCUUGUUCAAUUCUCUUUGGGUGUCCCUCGGGAUAAAGUGGUUCAUGAGUCAUUUUACCUCCUCUAGUUGCUACUCUAACAUUAUAUUAUUGUUCAUUUCAUCAAGCAACUCUCUUUGAGAUUUAGCAACUUGUUCUAAUUGAGUUUGAACCAUAGAGGCAUUCUUUCCUACACCUCUAACAUCAUUUGAGAUUCUGAAUAACAAGUCACUUAAGCGAGCAAUCAUAUCAGAGUUGUAUUUCAAUUGUUUCAUAACAUUUGUAUUGAAGUGAUCUUUCUUUCUAAUGUAAUUAUCAAACUCAUAAAGGCAUUGGCUAAAAUGUUUAUUAUGAGGAUUAUCACUAUCAUUGAAUUUCAUUAAAGAAUUUACCUCUACCACCUUAGGUGGUGGCGGUGUAUCAAGCCUAUGCAUUUCUUCAAUAGGUGGUAAAUUUUUAACAUCAUCUCCUUUAAUACCUUUUUCCUCCAUAGAUUUCUUUGCCUCUUGCAUGUCUUCAGGACUGAGAUAUAAAAUACCCCUCUUCUUCAGAGUGGGUUUAGGCGGUGUUUCAGGAGGAGUCCAAUCAUCAUAAUUUUUCAAUAUGUUAUUCAAUAAUUCUUCAGCUUGCUCAAUAGUUCGUUCCCUGGAAACAUAACCAGCACAACUAUCUAGAAAAUCCCUAGAAGCAUCGGUUAUUCCAUUAUAGAAGAUAUCGAGUAUUUCAUUUUUCUUAAGAGGGUGAUCAGGCAAAGCAUUAAGCAAUUGUAGAAGCCUCCCCCAAGCUUGUGGGAGACUCUCUUCUUCAAUUUGCACAAAGUUAAAUAUUUCUUGUAAGGCAUCUUGUUUCUUAUGAGCAGAGAAAUAUUUUUAAGAGAAGUAAUAAAUCAUAUCCUGGGGACUACGCACACAACCAGGAGCAAGAGUAUUGUACCAAGCUUUAGCAUCACUCUUUAAUGAUAAUGGACUAAUUUGAGGAUAUAGUAAUAGCGAAUCUUCUCAUCAUGAGCAAAAAGGGUGGCUAUGUCAUUCAACUUGGUAAGAUGUACCACAAAAGUUUCAAUUUCAUAACCAUGGAAAGGAUCAGAUUCAACCAAAGUAAUUAACUCUGGGUCGAUAGAGAAUUCAUAAUCCUUAUCAUCAAUAAAGAUAGGUGAAGUAGCAAACUUAGGAUCACAUUUCGUUCUAGCAUUCAAAGAUCUUUCUUUAUACUUGCAUAAUAAUUUUUCUAGAUCAUCUCUAUCCUUACAAGUAAGAAUAUCUCUAGUUGCCUCCUCACCAAUAACAUAACCUUCCGGUAUCUUUGGCAAUUCAUAUCUAGGAGGGCUAGUUCUAAUAGGUGUUUCAAGAUUUUCAAUUUGAAGCUCAUCAUCAGUUUCAACAAUAUCAUGUUGUCUUACUCUAGCAAUCUAUUCAUCAAGAAAUUCACCUAGUGGCACAUUAUCAUCAAGCAAGGUACCCGCAUCAUCAUGAGUAGCAUUCAUAGUAGAAGUAGCAUCAUCAAUAACUUGUGACAUAUCAGCAUUAAUAGCAUGUGGUGGUGUUGCAAGUUUACUUAUAACAUAAGGUGAAUCUAAAGCGGAGCUGGAUGGCAGUUCCUUACCUCCCCUCAUCUUAGAGGGAAAAAUAUUAGUCUUAGCAUCCUUCAGAUUCUUCAUAAUGAUAAUUUGAUAAUAAUUCCAAGUGAUUCGACAAAUAUAACUAUGUUCCCCGGCAACGGCGCCAGAAAAAGGUCGUGAUAACCCACAAGUAUAUGGGAUCGCAACAGUUCUCGAGGGUAGGGUAUUCAACCCAAAUUUAUAGAUUCAGCACAAGGGGAGCCAAAGAAUAUUUGCAAGUAUUAGUAGCUGAGUUGUCAAUUUAACCACACCUGGAGAUUAAUUAUCUGCAACAAAGUGAUCAGUAGCAUAGUAAUAUGAUAGUUUUGAUAAUAGUGGUAGCAGCAAUAGUAAUGGUAAUAGUGAUAGUAAUGGUUUUGUAACAGUAACCAUGGUAACAACAUUAGUAACUUAGCAAGAACAAUAUGUAGGAAAAUCGUAGGCAUUUGAUCAGCGAUUUGUUGGAUGAUAUUCAUCAUGAGACAGUCAUAACCUAGGGCGAUACAGCACUAGCUCCAAUUCAUAAAUAUAAUGUAGGCAUGUAUUCUGUAAAUGGUCAUACGUGCUUAUGGAAAGAACUUGCAUGACAUCUUUGUCCUACCCUCCCAUGGCAGCGGAGUCCUAUUGGAAACUAAGGGAUAUUAAGGCCUCCUUUUAAUAGAGAACCAGAACAAAACAUUAGCACACGGUGAAUACAUGAACUCCUCAAACUACGGUCAUCACCGAGAGUGGUCCCGACUAUUGUCACUCCGGGGUUGCCGGAUCAUAACACGUAGUAGGUGACUAUAACUUGCAAGAUCGAAUCUAGAACAUGGAUAUAAUGGUGAUAACAUAAAUGAUUCAGAUCUGAAAUCAUGGCACCUAGGCCAAAGUGACAAGCAUUAAGCAUGGCAAAGUCAUAGCAACAUCAAUCUCAGAACAUAAUGGAUACUAGGGAUCAAGCCCUAAAAAACUAAAUCGAUUACAUGAUGAAUCUCAUCCAACUCCUUACCGACCAGCGAGCCUACGAAGGAAUUACUCACUCCCGGUGGAAGCAUCAUGGAAUUGGCGAUGGAGAAGGGUUGGUGAUGACGAAGAUCGAAGAUCCCCCUCUCCGGACCCCCAAACGGACUCCAGACCUAGCCUCCCGAUGAAGAACAGGAGAUGGAGGCAGCUCCGUCUCAUGAAACGCGAUAAUUCUUUCUCCCUAAUUGGGUCUGCGGGGCCACCAGGUGGGGAUAGCCCACCUGGGCGCGCCUGGAGGGGGUGGCGCGCCCUGGUGGGUUGUGCCCAGCUAGCUGCCCCCCUCCAGUGGUUCUUGGCUCCAGAAAUUAUCUUUUAUUAUACAAAAAAUCCUCGCAAAGUUUCCUUCCAUUCCGAGAACUUUUAUUUCUGCAAACAAACAACACCAUGGUAGUUGUGGUGAAAACAGCGUCAGUCCGGGUUAGUUUCAUUCAAAUCAUGCAAAUUAGAGUCCAAAACAAGAGGAAAAGCGUUAGGAAAAGUAGAUACGACGGAGACGUAUCAAUGUGCCACAACAGUUUCAGAUUCAUAACCAUGGAAAUGGUAAGAUUCAACCAAAGUAAUUAACUCAAGAUCGAUAGAGAAUUCAUAAUCCUUAUCAAGAUAGGUGAAGUAGCAAACUUAGGAUCAUAUUGCAUUCUAGCAUUUAAAGAUUUUUCUUUCCACUUGCAUAAUAAUUUCUUAAGAUCAUCUCUAUCCUUACAAGCAAUAAAUUCCCUAGCUACCUCUCCAUCUAUAACAGAGCCCUCUGGCAUAACAGGAAGUUCAUAUCUAGGAGAGCUAGGUCUAACAGGUGUUUCAAAGUUUUUAGUUUCAAUAAUUUCAUCAGUUUCAGAAAUAUCAUCAUCUUCAGAAUAAUCAGUAAUUCUAACUCUAGCCAGAUGUUCAUCAAGUAAUUCACCCAGUGGCACAGUUUUAUCAGGCAAAGUAGUAGCAUCAUAAGCAUCAUUCAUAGCAGAAGUAACAUCAUCAAUAACAUGUGACAUAUCAGAAUCAAUAGCAGGUGUAGGUGUCGCAAGCUUACUCAAAACAGAAGGUGAAUCAAGUGCUGAGCUAGAUGGUCGUUCCUUACCUUCCCUUGUAGUAGAGGGAAAAAUCUUGGUUCUAGUAUCUUUCAAAUUGCUCAUAGUGAUCAACAGAUAUAAAUCCCAAGUGACUCAAAGAAUAGAGCUAUGCUCCCCGGCAACGGCGCCAGAAAAAGGUCUUGAUAACCCACAAGUAUAGGGGAUCGCAACAGUUUUCGAAGGUAGAGUAUUCAACCCAAAUUUAUUGAUUCAACACAAGGGAAGCCAAAGAAUAUUCUCAAGUAUUAGCAGUUGAGUUGUCAAUUCAACCACACCUGAAAGACUUAAUAAACGCAGCAAAGUGUUUAGUAGCAAAGUAGUAUGGAUGUAACGGUAACGGUGGCAAAAGUAACAGUAGCAGUUUUGUAGCAAUCGUAACAGUGCAAGGGAAAAUUAACUAAGCAAAGAUCAAUAUGUGAAAAGCUCGUAGGCAAUGGAUCAAUGAUGGAUAAUUAUGCCGGAUGUCAUUCAUCAUGCAACAGUUAUAACCUAGGGUGACACAGAACUAGCUCCAAUUCAUCAAUAAAUGUAGGCAUAUAUUACGAAUAUAGUCAUACGUGCUUAUGGAAAAGAACUUGUAUGACAUCUUUUGUCCUACCAUCCCAUGGCAGCAGGGUCCUAGUGGAAACUAAGGGAUAUUAAGGCCUCUUUUUAAUAGAGAACCGGACCAAAGCAUUAGCACUUAGUGAAUACAUGAACUCCUCAAACUAUGGUCAUCACCGGGAAGUGUACCGACUAUUGUCACUCCGGGGUUGCUGGAUCAUAACAUGUAGUAGGUGACUAUAACUUGCAAGAUCGGAUCAAGAACACAAAUAUAUUCAUGAAAACAUGAAGUGUUCAGAUCUGAAUUCAUGGCACUCAUGCCCUAGUGACAAGCAUUAAGCAUAGCAAAGUCAUAGCAACAUCAAUCUUAGAACAUAGUGGAUAUUAGGGGGUCAAACCCUAACAAAACUAACUCGGUUACAUGAUAAAUCUCAUCCAACCCAUCACCAUACAACAAGCCCACGAUGGAAUUACUCAUGCACGGCAGUGAGCAUCAUGAAAUUGAUGAUGGAGGAUGGUUGAUGAUGACGACGGCGAUGGAUUCCACUCUCUGGAGCCCCGAACAGACUCCAGAUCUGCUUUCCCGAUGAAGAACAGGAGGCGGCGACGGCUCCGUAUCGUAAAACACGAUGAAUCCUUCUCUCUGAUUUUUUCUCCCCAAACAUGAAUAUAUGGAGUUGGAGUUGAGGUCGGUGGAGGUCCAAGGGACCCACAAGGCAGGGGGCGCACCCUCCACCCUUGUCGACAGCCGGUGGGUACCCCUCUGUUGAUUCUUUCGCCAAUAUUUUUUAUUUAUUCCAAAAAUGUUCUCCGUGAAGUUUUAGGUCAUUCCGAGAACUUUUAUUUCUGCACAAAAAUAACACCAUGGCAAUUCUGCUAAAAACAGCGUCAGUCCGAGUUAGUUCCAUUCAAAUCAUGAAAAUUAGAGUCCAAACAAGGGUAAAAGAGUUUGGAAAAGUAGAUACGAUGGAGACAUAUCAAGAUGGAUGCUCAUUUUGGUUUUGGGAAGGCGAAUACAUUGAUUUAUUGAUAGAAAGAAACUUAAUAGAUGUUCGUGCACUUCUUAGUAGACUUGAGGCUAAUGAUGCAGUUGCAUGUGCAAUUAGAGAAGAAAGUAGAGGGGAAGCAACAUCUACUUCUUUAGAACCAAAGGAGAAGAAUGAAAGAUGCAAGAUCAAGAAUUCGCAGAUCAACAACGAAUGCAUAGAGAAGAUAUUACUCCAACUAGUGGGAGUAGCUAUGGAAGUUGAAUAUUUUCUAAAAUGCAUAAUUGUGGUUCUUGUUUUCUUUGGUCUUACUAUUCUAGCAAAGAUUUGCUGAAUUACUAUGUAUCCAAUGUCGUUGAAGAAAAUAAAAAAGCAAAGAAAUGUAUUUUCAUAUGUGAAAUUGAAAUGCAAAUUACAGAUUUGCGGGCCAGCAGGGGCGGCGCCCGAGCAGACCCCGCAAAGCCGACCCGUAAAAGAGCAUAUUCCACGAAUAUCCUUUUUUAUGUGUCCGUUUUGUGGGUCUAACUCUGCCGCCGCCUGCACCGGCCGCAAAGCCGUUUUCCCACGAACUGUAUACGCGUUUUGCCAGUCGAUGUUAUACGGGGUCUUCUAGAGAUGCUCUAAGGUUCCUAUUUCACCUUUAUUCUCACCACCCCUUCGUCCAACCUUCCUUGUAUGAUAAUAAAUCAACUUAUUUACUUAUCUUCUGAGCCAGUUCUACUAUAAUUUUACUUACCAAACUUCGGAUCAAAAUGUAAGGUAUCUCUAUUAUCUAUUUAUACUGUUGGGGAACGUAGUAAUUUCAAAAAAAUUCCUACACACACGCAAGAUCAUGGUGAUGCAUAGCAACUAGAGGGGAGAGUGUGUCCACGUACCCUCGUAGACCGAAAGCGGAAGUGUUAUGACAACGCGGUUGAUGUAGUCGUACGUCUUCACGAUCCGACCGAUCCAAGUACCGAACGUACGGCACCUCCGAGUUCAGCACACGUUCAGCUCGAUGACAAUCCCCGGACUCCGAUCCAGCAAGGUGUCGGGGAUGAGUUUCGUCAGCACGACGGCGUGGUGAUGAUGAUGAUGUUCUACCGACGCAGGGCUUCGCCUAAGCACUACAACGAUAUGACCGAGGUGGAAUAUGGUGGAGGGGGGUACCGCACACGGCUAAGGAACGAUCACGAAGAUCAACUUGUGUGUCAUGGGGUGCCCCCCUGCCCCUGUAUAUAAAGGAGGGAGGGGGGAGGUGCGGCCGGCCCCCUAGGGGUGUGCCUGGAGGAGUCCUACUCCCACCGGGAGUAGGACUCCCCCCUCUUGCCUUGUAGGAGAAGGAAAGGGGCAGGGGAAAGAGGAAAGGGGGCGCUGCCCCCCCCCCCUUCCUUGUCCUAUUCGGACUAGGGGGAGGGGGUGCGCGGCCUGCCCUGGCCGGCCCUCCUCUUCUCCCUUAGGGCCCAUGUAGGCCCAUUAACCCUCGAGGGGGGUUCCGGUAACCCCCCGGUACUCCGGUAAAAUCCUGAUUUCACCUGGAACGAUUCCGAUAUCCAAAUAUAGGCUUCCAAUAUAUCAAUCUUUAUGUCUCGACCAUUUCGAGACUCCUCGUCAUGUCCAUGAUCAUAUCCGGGACUCCGAACAACCUUCGGUACAUCAAAACUUAUAAACUCAUAAUAAAAAUGUCAUCGUAACGUUAAGCAUGCGGACCCUACAGGUUCGAGAACUAUGUAGACAUGACCUAGAACUGUUUCCGGUCAAUAACCAAUAGCGGAACCUGGAUGCUCAUAUUGGCUCCCACACAUUCUACGAAGAUCUUUAUCGGCCAGACCGCAUAACAACAUACGUUGUUCCCUUUGUCAUCGGUAUGUUACUUGCCCGAGAUUCGAUCGUCGGUAUCUCAAUACCUAGUUCAAUCUCGUUACCGGCAAGUCUAUUUACUCGUUCAAUAAUACACCAUCUCACAACUAACUCAUUAGUUGCAAUGCUUUCAAGGCUUUAAGUGAUGUGCAUUACCGAGAGGGCCCAGAGAUACCUCUUCGACAAUUAGAGUGACAAAUCCUAAUCUCGAAAUACGCCAACCCAACAAGUACCUUUGGAAACACCUGUAGAGCACCUUUAUAAUCACCCAGUUACGUUGUGAUGUUUGGUAGCACACAAAGUGUUCCUCUGGUAAACGGGAGUUGCAUAAUCUCAUAGUCAUAGGAACAUGUAUAAGUCAUGAAGAAAGCAAUAGUAGAAAACUAAACGAUCAAGUGCUAAGCUAACGGAAUGGGUCAAGUCAAUCACAUCAUUCUCUUAAUGAUAUGAUCCCGUUAAUCAAAUGACAACACAUGUCUAUGGUCAGGAAACAUAACCAUCUUUGAUCAACGAGCUAGUCAAGUAGAGGCAUACUAGUGACACUCUGUUUGUCUAUGUAUUCACACAAGUAUUAUGUUUCCGGUUAAUACAAUUCUAGCAUGAAUAAUAAACAUUUAUCAUGAAAUAAGGAAAUAAAUAAUAACUUUAUUAUUGCCUCUAGGGCAUAUUUCCUUCAGUCUCCCACUUGCACUAGAGUCAAUAAUCUAGUUCACAUCAUUAUGUGAUUCAACACCAAUAUUCACAUCUGUAUGUGAUUAAUACCCAUAGUUCACAUCAUCAUGUGAUUAACACCCAAAGGGUUUACUAGAGUCAAUAAUCUAGUUCACAUCGCUAUGUGAUUAACACCCAAAGAGCACUAAGGUAUGAUCAUGUUUUGCUCAUGAGAGAAGUUUAGUCAACAGGUCUGUCACAUUCAGAGCCGUAUGUAUUUUGCAAAUAUUCUAUGUCUACAAUGCUCUGCACGGAGCUACUCUAGCUAAUUUCGCCCACUUUCAAUAUGUAUCCAGAUUGAGACUUAGAGUCAUCUGGAUCGGUGUAAAAGCUUGCAUCGAUGUCACUCCUUACUACGAACUCUUUUAUCACCUCCAUAAUCGAGAAACAUAUCCUUAUUCCACUAAGGAUAAUUUUGACCAAUGUCCAGUGAUCUACUCCUAGAUCACUAUUGUACUCCCUCGCCAAACCAGGGGAGAGUAUACAAUAGAUCUGGUCCAUAGCAUGGCAUACUUUUAUAGAACAUGCAUAGGGAAUGACUUUCAUUCUCUUUCUAUUUUCUGUCGUGGUCAGGAUUUGAGUCUUACUCAAUUUCAUACCUUUGCAACACAGGCAAGAACUCUUUCUUUGACUCUUCCAUUUUGAACUACUUCAAAAUCUUGUCAAGGUAUAUACUCAUUGAAAAUCUUAUCAAGCGUCUUGAUCUAUCUCAAUAGAUCUUGAUGCUCAAUAUGUAAGUAGCUUUACUGAGGUCUUUCUUUUAAAGAACUCCUUUCAAACACUUCUUUUAUGCUUUCCAGAAAAAUUAUACAUCAUUUCUGAUCAACAAUAUGUCACUCACAUAUACUUAUCAGAAAGGAAGUAGUGCUCCCGCUCACUUUAUUGUAAAUACAGCCUUCACUGCAAGUCCGUAUAAAACUAUAUGCUUUGAUCAACUUAUCAAAGCGUAUAUUCCAACUCCGAGAUGCUUGCACCAGUCCAUAGAUGGAUCGCUGGAGCUUGCACAAUUUGUUAGCACCUUUGGAAUUGACAAAACCUUCUGGUUGCAUCAUAUACAACACUUCUUUAAAAAAUCCAUUAAGGAAUGCAGUUUUGACAUCCUUUGUCAGAUUUCAUAAAAUGUGGCAAUUGCUAAUAUGAUUCGGAUAGACUUUAAGCAUCGAUACGAGUGAGAAAAUCUCAUCGUAUUCAACACUUUGAACUUGUCAAAAACCUUUUGCAACAAGUCGAGCUUUGUAGAUAGUAACACUACUAUCAGUGUUCGUCUUCCUCUUGAAGAUCCAUUUAUUUUCUAUGGCUUGCCGAUCCUUGGGCAAGUCAACCAAAGUCCACACUUUGUUCUCAUACAUGGAUCCCAUCUCAGAUUUCAUGGCCUCAAGCCAUUUUGCGGAAUCUGGGCUCAUCAUCGCUUCCUCAUAGUUCGUAGGUUCAUCAUGGUCUAGUAACAUGACUUCCAGAACAUGAUUACCGUACCACUCUGGUGCGGAUCUUACUCUGGAAGACCUACGAGGUUUGGUAGCAACUUGAUCUGAAGUUUCAUGAUCAUCAUCAUUAACUUCCUCACUAAUUGGUGUAGGAAUCACUGGAACUGAUUUCUGUGAUGAACUACUUUCCAAUAAGGGAGAAGGUACAAUUACCUCAUCAAGUUAUACUUUCCUCCUACUCACUUCUUUCAAGAGAAACUCCUUCUCUAGAAAGGAUCCAUCUUAGCAACGAAUAACUUGCCUUCGGAUCUGUGAUAGAAGGUGUACCCAAUAGUUACCUUUGGGUAUUCUAUGAAGACGCACUUCUCCGAUUUGGGUUUGAGCUUAUCAGGUGAAAACUUUUUCACAUAAGCAUCGCAACCCCAAACUUUAAGAAACGACAACUUUGGUUUGUCGCCAAACCACAGUUCAUAAGGCGUCAUCUCAACGGAUUUUGAUGGUGCCCUAUUUAAAGUGAAUGCAGCUGUCUCUAAUGCAUAACCCCAAAACGAUAGUGGUAAAUCAGUAAGAUACAUCAUAGAUUGCACUAUAUCCAAUAAAGUACGGUUAUGACAUUCGGACACACCAUAACGCUGUGGUGUUCCAUGUGGCGUGAGCUGUGAAACUAUUCCACAUUGUUUUAUAUGAAGGCCAAACUCGUAACUCAAAUAUUCUUCUCCACGAUUAGAUCGUAGAAACUUUAUUUUCUUGUUACGAUGAUUCUCCACUUCACUCUGAAAUUCUUUGAACUUUUCAAAUGUUUCAGACUAGUGUUUCAUUAAGUAGAUAUACUCAUAUCUGCUCAAAUCAUCUUGUGAAGGUCAGAAAAAUAACGAUACCUGCCACGAGCAUCAACACUCAUUGGACCGCAUACAUCGGUAUGUAUUAUUUCCAAUAAGUCACUAGCCCGUUCCAUUGUUCCGGAGAACAGAGUUUUAGUCAUCUUGCCCAAAAGGCAUGGUUCACAAGCAUCAAAUGAUUCAUAAUCAAGUGAUUCCAAAAGUCCAUUUUUAUGGAGUUUCUUCAUGCGCUUUACACCGAUAUGACCUAAACGGCAGUGCCACAAAUAUGUUGCACUAUCAUUAUCAACUUUGCAUCUUUUGGCAUCAAUAUUAUGAAUAUGUGUAUCACUACGAUCGAGAUCCAACAAACUAUUUUCAUUGGGUGUAUGACCAUUGAAGGUUUUAUUCAUGUAAACAGAACAACAAUUAUUCUCUGACUUUAAAUGAAUAACCGUAUUGCAAUAAACAUGAUCAAAUCAUAUUCAUGCUCAACGCAAAUGCCAAAUAACAUUUAUUUAGGUUUAACACUAAUCCCGAAAGUAUAGGGAGUGUGCGAUGAUGAUCAUAUCAAUCUUGGAACCACUUCCAACACACAUCGUCACUUCACCCUCAACUAGUCUCUGUUUAUUCCGUAACUCCUGUUUCGAGUUACUAAUUUUUAGCAACCAAACAAGUAUCAAAUACUCAGGGGCUACUAUAAACACUAGUAAGGUACACAUCAAUAACCUGUAUAUCAAAUAUACCCUUGUUCACUUUGCCAUCCUUCUUAUCCACCAAAUAUUCAGUGCAUUUCCGCUUCUAGUGACCAUUUCCUUUGCAGUAUAAUCACUCAGUUUUAGGCUUUGUUCCAGCUUUGGGCUUCUUCGCGGGAGUGACAACUUGCUUGCCAUUAUACUUGAAGUUCCCUUUCUUUCCCUUUGCCCUUUUCUUGAAACUAGUGAUCUUGUUAAUCAUCAGCACUUGAUGCUCUUUUCUUGAUUUCUACCUUCGUUGAUUUCAGCAUCACGAAGAGCUCGGGAAUCAUUUUCGUCAUCCCUUGCAUUAUAGUUCAUCACGAAGUUCCAGUAACUUGGUGAUGGUGACUAGAGAACUCUGCCAAUCACUAUCUUAUCUGGAAGAUUGACUCCCACUUGAUUCACGUGAUUGUUAGUACUCGGACAAUCUAAGCACUUGCUCACUAGUUGAGCAAUUCUCCUCCAUCUUUUAGCUAUAGAACUUGUUGGCGACUUCAUAUCUCUCAACUCGGGUAUUUGCUUGAAAUAUUAACUUCAACUCCUAGAACAUCUCAUAUGGUCCAUGACGUUCAAAACGUCUUUGAAGUCCCGAUUCUAAGCCGUUAAGCAUGGUGCACUAAACUAUCAAGUAGUCAUCAUAUUGAGCUAGCCAAACGUUCAUAACGUCUGCAUCUGCUCCUGCAAUAGGUCUGUCACCUAUCGGUGCAUUAAGGAGACAAUUCUUCUGUGCAGCAAUGAGGAUAAACCUCAGAUCACGAAUCCAAUCCGCAUCAUUGCUACUAACAUCUUUCAACACAAUUUUCUCUAGGAACAUAUCAAAAUAAACAUAUGAAAGCAACAACGCAAGCUAUUGAUUUACAACAUAAUUUGCAAAAUACUACCAGGACUAAGUUCAUGAUAAAUUUAAGUUCAAUUAAUCAUAUUACUAAAGAACUCCCACUUAGAUAGACAUCCCUCUAAUCCUCUAAGUGAUUACGUGAUCCAUAUCAACUACACCAUGUCCGAUCAUCACGUGAGAUGGAGUAGUUUCAACGGUGAACAUCAAUAUGUUGAUCAUAUCUACUAUAUGAUUCACGCUCGACCUUUUGGUCUCCGUGUCCCGAGACCAUAUCUGUUAUAUGCUAGGCUCAUCAAGUUUAACCUGAGUAUUCCGCGUGUGCAACUGUUUUGCACCCGUUGUAUUUGAAAGUAGAGCCUAUCACACCCGAUCAUCACGUGGUGUCUCAGCACGAAGAACUUUCGCAACGAUGCAUACUUAGGGAGAACACUUUUACUAUGAUAAUUUAGUGAGGGAUCAUCUUAUAGUGCUACCGUCAAUCAAAGCAAGAUAAGAUGCAUAAAAGAUAAACAUCACAUGCAAUCAGUAUAAGUGAUAUGAUAUGGCCAUCAUCAUCUUGUGCUUGUGAUCUCCAUCUUCGAAGCACCGUCAUGAUCACCAUUAUCACCGGCGCGACACCUUGAUCUCCAUCGUAGCAUCGUUGUCGUCUUGCCAAUCUUAUGUUUCUACGACUAUCGCUACCGCUUAGUGAUAAAGUAAAGCAUUACAGGGCGAUUGCAUUGCAUACAAUAAAGCGGCAACCAUAUGGCUCCUGCCAGUUGCCGAUAACUCUGUUACAAAACAUGAUCACCUCAUACAAUAAAAUUUAGCAUCAUGUCUUGACCAUAUCACAUCACAACAUGCCCUGCAAAAACAAGUUAGACGUCCUCUACUUUGUUGUUGCAAGUUUUACGUGGCUGCUACGGGCUUAGCAAGAACCGUUCUUACCUACGCAUCAAAACCACAACGAUAGUUUGUCAAGUUGGUGCUAUUUUAACCUUCGCAAGGACCGGGCGUAGCCACACUCGGUUCAACUAAAGUGAGAGAGAUAGACACCCACCAGUCACCUUUAAGCACGAGUGCUCAUAACAGUGAAACCAGUCUCGCGUAAGCGUAUGCGUAAUGUCAGUCCGGGCCGCUGUAAGAACAUGCGGUGCCCCAUGUUUGGUUUUGGCAAUUGAUGACAAUCUCUAUGGACUAAUGGUUGCCUUGAGUUAUAUUUGAAGGGUUUGUCCAUAGGCUUUUCUUGGAGUCCAUAUGUUGUUUUCAAGGAGAGUUUGUGAUGACCAAGUUGCUAUUAAGGAAUUAUCCAAAGAUUGGUCUUAUGAGUGUUGAGCUUAUUGCAAGCAUGUCUUGAAGAAGAAGAUUGUGUGAUCAUUCAUGUUUACCUUCAAGACAUCAUCCAAAUGAAGAGAGUUGGAAAGAUUCAACGUUGAUCAAGACUAAGUCAAAGAAUGAAUCAAGUUGAUCAACACACAAAGCAUAGAAGAUGUACCGAGAGGGAUCAAGCGAUCCCAUGGUAUGGUAAGCAUGGUCAAUUACGCUUUGUGUACUAACCCAUGGUCUUCGUGAGAGUUCUUUGUGGGGUUAGGUUGCGGUGUGCAAGCUCAAGUUGAAUCAUCACGAAGAGAUCAUAUGCUUGAAGCUUGCCGUCCAUUGUGGCGACAAUGGACUUGUGAAGAUGUGCAGAAGAGUGGCUCACCCAUAGUGGAGUAUGGGGGAGCAAUCAACUAGUCUUCUUCGAGCCAAUGCAAUCAAGAAAGGUGGUCCAACUUGAGGGAGUCAAGAUCGUCAUCAUCUAGCUCAAGUGGACCAUGUGCAAGGCAAAGGUUUGCCCUUGAUAGGUUUUCUAUUUUACCGGUCUCAUGGUAGUUGUGGGAGACCGGGUUAUAGGAUCGUUUGCCGUACUAUCAAGGGGGGCUCUCGAUGAGUUGCUUGAUCGUAUCGUUCAUAGAGAGCUCAAACCAUUGCAUCCUUGCAUCAUCUUUUUGGUUCUUGUUUGGGUCUUCUCCUUGUGAGAUUUGGAGCUUAUGGUCAUUUUUAUGACAAGCUCGAGUUCAUCGAAAACGGAGUUCUCAUGCAUCUUCUAUGACGUUUUCGAUGUUGGAGGGUAUGCCGGUUCUUCUCGGUUGGAGGUUUCACUCCUUUGUUUGCUAAGCAUACCUCACCUGCCUCUUCUCACUAUAACCAACAAGCUUGAGUUUGCUCAAUUCGGAGCUCAUAUGAAGAAGUUAUGGCAGUUCUGGUUUUCCUUGGAGUAUUUUUUGUUUUCGUGGUUGAGGCAUAAGGUUGGCCCCAGUGGUAGUACCGCGACCACAGCGGUAGUACCGCCGAAGCUCCCCAGCGGUAGUACCGCUCUCAGAGCGGUAGUACCGCUCCAAGCGGUAGUACCGCUCUCCAAACGGUAGUACCGCUUGGGAUUUUCGGCCGUAGUACCGCUGUGCGUCUGGGCUAGUUCCGCCUCGAUUCUCGUACAAAGUUUUUCGUGUCGGGUUUUGCGGCACUAAGGGCGGCAGUAGGAGCGGUAGUACCUCCCUAAGAGGUAGUACCGCUCUUCCCUAGCGGUAGUACCGCCCUGGGGUCAUGGCCCUGGCAGCGCGGCAGUACCGCUGGGUUGAGCGGUAGUACCGCCCGGAGCGGUAGUACCGCCCUUCCCUAGCGGUAGUACCGCUCUGUGCGGGGAUGUUCAGUGGGGUAACGGUUGGUUUUUCCCCCUCCUAUAAAAGGGGGUCUUCUUCCCCAUUGAACCUUAUCCUUUGAGCUCGUGUUCUUCCCCCAUUGUUGACCUUCUCCGAGCUUGCUAUCUCUCAAUCCCUCCAUGGAUUCUUGCUUGUUUUUGGGGGAAAAGAGAGAGGAGAUCUAGAUCCACAUUUCCACCAAUGACUUUCUCCUCUAUGUGAGGGGAACCCCUUGGAUCUAGUUCUUGGAGUUCUUGGUGUUCUCCUUCUUGUUCUUCCUCUCAUUUUCCUCCCUAGCAUUAGUUGCUUUGGUGGGAUUUGAGAGAGAAGGACUUGGGCACUCUGUGUGCCCUUCCCAUUGCAUUUGUGCAUCGGGUUGAGUUCUCCACGGUGAUACAUGGAAGUUACAAGUUGAGAAGCUUAUUACUCUUGGGUGCUUGGUGCCCUUGAGCUUGUUCCUCUUGGGUGCUUGGGCGCCCUAGUCGGUUGGUGGUGUUCGGAGCUCAAUCAUUGUGCUGUAAAGCUCCGGGCAAGCGUCGGGGUCUCCAAUUAGGUUGUGGAGAUCGCCCCGAGCAAUUUGACGGGUUCCGGUGACCGCCCCCAAGGGUUGCCAAAGUGUACGGGUUCGGUGACCACCCCCAAGGGUUGCAAAAGUGUACGGGUUCGGUGACCGCCCCCAAGGGUUGCCAUUUGUACGGGUUCGGUGACCGCCCUCAAGGGUCCCUUAGUGAAAUCACGGCAUCUUGCAUUGUGCGAGGGAGUGAGGAGAUUACGGUGGCCUAGUGGCUUCUUGGGGAGCAUUGUGCCUCCACACUGCUCCAAACGGAGAUUAGCAUCCGCAAGGGUGUGAACUUCGGGAUACAUCGUCGUCUCCGCGUGCCUCGGUUAUCUCUUACCCGAUCCCCUUUACCUAUGCACUUUACUUUGUGAUAGCCAUAUUGUUCUUUGUCAUAUAUCUUGCUAUCACAUAGUUGCUCAUAUUGCUUAGCAUAAGUUGUUGGUGCACAUAGGUGAGCCUAGUUGUUUUAGGUUUUGUGCUUGACAAAUUAACCGCUAGGUUUAUUCCGCAUUUGUUCAAGCCUAAACCGUAAUUAUUUUAAAAUGCCUAUUCACCCCCCCCCCUCUAGGCGACAUCCACGAUCUUACAGCCGCUUCAUCCAACAAUACCGCUGAACCAAAGUAUGACAUGCUGGUAAGCAGUAUGACUUAUAUCGCCCACAACUCACUUGGGUUCUACUCAUGCAUAUGACAUCUACGCAUAAAACCUGGCUCGGAUGCCACUGUUGGGGAACGUAGUAAUUUCAAAAAAAAUCCUACGCACACGCAAGAUCAUGGUGAUGCAUAGCAACGAGAGGGGAGAGUGUGUCCACAUACCCUCGUAGACCAAAAGCGGAAGUGUUAUGCCAACGCGGUUGAUGUAGUCAUACGUCUUCACGAUCCGACCGAUCCAAGUACCGAACAUACGGCACCUCCGAGUUCAGCACACGUUCAGCUCGAUGACGAUCCCCGGACUCCGAUCCAGCAGGGUGUCGGGAAUGAGUUUCGUUAGCACGACGGCGUGGUGACGAUGAUGAUGUUCUAUCGAUGCAGGGCUUUGCCUAAGCACUGCAACAAUAUGACCAAGGUGGAAUAUAGUGGAGGGGGGCACCGCACACGGCUAAGGAACGAUCACGAAGAUCAACUUGUGUGUCAUGGGGUGCCCCCCUGCCCCCGUAUAUAAAGGAGGGAGGGGGUGCGGUCGGCCCCCUAGGGGUGCACCUGGAGGACUCCCCCCUCUUGCCUUGUAGGAGAAGGAAAGGGGGAGGGGAAAGAGGAAAGGGGGCGCCGCCCCCCCCCCCCCCUUCCUUGUCCUAUUCGGACUAGGGGGGAGGGGGCGCGCAGCCUGCCCUGGCCGGCCCUCCUCUUCUCCCUUAGGGCCCAUGUAGGCCCAUUAACCCCCAGGGGGGUUCCGGUAACCCCCCGGUACUCCGGUAAAAUCCCGAUUUCAUCCGGAACGAUUCCGAUAUCCAAAUAUAGGCUUCCAAUAUGUCAAUCUUUAUGUCUCAACCAUUUCGAGACUCCUCGUCAUGUCCAUGAUCAUAUCCGGGACUCCGAACAACCUUCAGUACAUCAAAACAUAUAAACUCAUAAUAAAACUAUCAUCGUAACGUUAAGCGUGCGGACCCUACGGGUUCGAGAACUAUGUAGACAUGACCUAGAACUGUUUUCGAUCAAUAACCAAUAGCGGAACCUGGAUGCUCAUAUUGGCUCCCACACAUUCUACGAAGAUCUUUAUCGGUCAGAUCGCAUAACAACAUACGUUGUUUCCUUUGUCAUCGGUAUGUUACUUGCCCGAGAUUCGAUCGUCGGUAUCUCAAUACCUAGUUCAAUCUCGUUACCGGCAAGUCUCUUUACUCGUUCCGUAAUACACCAUCUCACAACUAACUCAUUAGUUGCAAUGCUUGCAAGGCUUUAAGUGAUGUGCAUUACCGAGAGGGCCCAGAGAUACCUCUCCGACAAUCGGAGUGACAAAUCCUAAUCUCGAGAUACGUCAACCCAACAAGUACCUUUGGAAACACCUGUAGAGCACCUUUAUAAUCACCCAGUUACGUUGUGACGUUUGGUAGCACACAAAGUGUUCCUCCGGUAAAUGGGAGUUGCAUAAUCUCAUAGUCAUAGGAACAUGUAUAAGUCAUGAGGAAAGCAAUAGCAGAAAACUAAACGAUCAAGUGCUAAGCUAACGGAAUGGGUCAAGUCAAUCACAUCAUUCUCUUAAUGAUAUGAUCUCGUUAAUCAAAUGAUAACACAUGUCUAUGGUCAGGAAACAUAACCAUUUUUGAUCAAUGAGCUAGUCAAGUAGAGGCAUACUAGUGACACUCUGUUUGUCUAUGUAUUCACACAAGUAUUAUGUUUCCGGUUAAUACAAUUCUAGCAUGAAUAAUAAACAUUUAUCAUGAAAUAAGGAAAUAAACAAUAACUUUAUUAUUGCCUCUAGGGCAUAUUUCCUUCAUAUACUACUUAAAAAGAACAUAAGGUUAUCAUUUCACCUUUCAUCCCACCAUCCCAUCGUCCAACCUUUCUUGUAUGAUAAUAAAUUAACUUAAAUUACUUUUAUUUAUGCAGUCGCAUUAGUAUAAAUAGUUAAAUCACAAGCCGACAUACUAGAAGAUUUAUAUCCAGUUGCAACACAUGGACAUUGUUUUAUCUAUAUAAAAUAAACGAAAAAACUAACGCCCACACGUGUGGGCAUUUGCACAUCGUCCACACAUCUCCAUCACCACUUAUUUUGCCAUGUAUGAACAGAUGGCAUCAGCAGAAAUUUUUUUGGUUUUCGUCUUAAAAAUGUUUUAUCUCUUAAUUAAAAAAGUGAAUUGAAAAUCCGUUUUCAUCACUAAACCCGCCUAAGCGAGACCUUCAAAACUAGACCCCAUGUUGAUAUGUUUCGACGAAAUUUUUUGUUGCCCGAAAGUUGCCAUGAUGUUUACACUGUAGUUGCCAUAGUGCUUAAACUAAAGUUGCCAUGUGGCAAUUUUAGUUUGUAUAUCGUGGCAAUUUUAGUUUUUUGAUGAUGGCAAUUCCAGUACUUUGAUCAUGAAAAUAUUGUUUUGUAUGAAUCAUAGCAAUUUUAAGUGCAUGUAUCAUGGCAAUUUUAGUUUAUGGUGCAUGGCAAGUCUAGUUUCUUAAUUCUUCGUUUUAUAAUAUGUUAAAAUUUACUUUUAAAUGUAGAAGAAAAUAGCUGAAACAUAUCAUGGCAACUUCAGUGUAAACAUCAUGGCAAUUCAUAUGCAAUAGACACGGCAAAUUUUAACCAAAAUUUUUUGUUGUCGAAAUAUAUUGAUAUGAGAUCUAAUUUCGAAGAUCUUGUCACGAGGGAUUUAAUGAUAAAAACGGAUCUUCAAUCGAAUUUUCAUUUAAGAGUUAAAUCAUUUUAAAAACAGAAAAUUCAAAAAAAAUUCUACAUGCAUGCAUGCGGUGACAUGACGUAGUCUGUGUAUUAUAGGGCGUGUGGGCGAGUUUAGCUCUCACCACACGUGUGGGCGAGUUUAGCUCUCACCACACGUGUGGGUGUUAGCGUUGUCCAAAAUAAAAAGAUAGACUGUGUAAAUACGCGGCAAAAGCUCACGCAGAUGAAUGACCACGUUUUUAUUUAAAGAAAGGAUGACCACGCUCGGGUCGGCUGUCGCGCACGCGAGCUCACCGGAUCGAUCAUGGUCAUGGCCCUCCUCUUCGGUUCCAAGCCAAACAUGUGUGUGGCUAGGUCGUCGCUUUCCGGGAGCACUAAUUAGCAGCCAACCGUGUACGUUCUGACCCCUGAUUCCCAUACUUUUAUCAACCCCAGUAAAAACGAAUCCCCACAUAACAUUUACAUGUGUCAACCAAAUUUAGAGUUCAAAUAUUCAAAUAGCGACAAAUACGUCUUAUAUCAAUCCACGUUUGAAUUAUAUUGCAUUAUGUAAUUAUCUUCAUGUUUGAAUUAUACUGCAUUAUGUAAUUUUUCUCCAUGUUUGAAUUAUACUGUAUUAUUUAAAAUUUUCUUAGGAAGGGUCUAUACUGUUUUCGAAAAAAGGAAGGGGACACAGUCACGGCUCUAUGUGCUGACUCAUCAUAGACACACAUUGUAGGAUGGACUUGAGUACAAGUCAAGUUAUACAUGGUUUAAACCUAUUCUAUCUUUUAUCUCAUUAUAUCUCUAACUCAAGCACAAUUAUACUUCUAACAUUAAAAGCCUAAAAUACGUAGCAGACAUGAUUUAGGAGGGUUUUAUAUAUAAAUAGACAAUUAGGUUUGUAAACUAGAAAAAGAUAGAUGGCCGCCGCCGAAACUUCGACUCAAUUCUCAUCGUCUCCGCCCAUCGUUCUGGCAGUUGCUCGUAUGUGUGUCUCAAUAGUUGUUUCAAGAUGACUUUUGUGCUCCUCAACCACAAUGUAUUAUCGGUGAGAACAAAGGUCAUCUGAUCACGUCAUAGAGGCAAAGCUAUAUUUCAUCCACAGAUUCGGUGCAACUGUUUCAUCUCGGUUUUAGUCUUUGUCCUCACGGGGCCGAUCUUUCAAUCAGUUGAGUUUCUGUUAGGGUGUCUUUUUGUUGGUUUGAUUCUUUUUGAAGUUGGAGACUUCACUCGAUAUUACGGUGAAGAUUUUGCGAUUCUAUAGCCCGCAUUUCCAAGGGUUCAUCCUCGACCAAAUACGUUCACUCUUCACGGUUUUCCAUCUUUUUGGAUGGGCAAAUCAAGGGGCUCUGAUACUUUUCUGUCGGUAUUCAAGUCUGCGUACAAGUGACUAUGUUGACACUCUAGUUAAAUUGUAGUGCCUUUGUUUAAGAGUUGAGUAGAUUUCGUCUUCCAAAAAAUAUUCACAAGAAGGUGCAUCCAAAGUAUUUCAUUCUAAUUCUUAUUUAAAAAAUAUAUUUGUGCACACUCUGUUCACUAAUGUAAGACAUUUGACACCAAAACCGUCUUACAUUGGUGAACAGAGGUAGUAGUUUUUUGAAUCUUAGAUCCAAAGAAUUUCACCUGUAAUGGUUUUCAUGUUUGGAUAAAGUUACAUUAUUUAAUCCUGAUUGUUUAUUAUUAAAUUCGUAUUACCAAAAUAGCCAUUUUCAUGGCUACCGGCUGGGCUUGGCAUUUUGUUUUCGGGCUUUGCAAGGCCUGCCCUGAAACCCGGCCUGCCCGGUCAUUGACCUGGUCUAGCGCUGAAUAUGUUCCUCAUCGAUAGCCACAGUCUCGGCUCCAAACUCCACCGCCUACGGCCACGGUACACACUGACACUAUUGCUUUUGCUUGUGCGGCGUCGCGCCGCGCUGGCCAGAAAUACCACGCGAGAGACUAGAAGGCGGAGGCUCAAGAGAUCAAGAAGCUGGCGGCGAGCAACGGGUGGGAGCGCGCCGAUGGGAGCGCCAUGGCCGGGAUGGACCCUGGCGCCGGCGAGCCUCGGGGCGCGUCGCACUACCUCGACCUCCUCCUCGCGCAGCAGCAGCAGUCGACGCCGUUCUCCCCCAUCGCGCAUGUCAAGGCGGAGCACCACUCCAUGGCGUCGCCGGUCAGGAGCCCCGCCUCCGGCGCCGGUGCCGAGCAACACGGGGGCGGCGGCGACCAGCAGCAGCCCUCCUCAUCGGCCAUGGUGCUGGCGGAUGGCGGCGGGGGGUCCGCGCGGCCGAUGCGGCGCCCGCGAGGGAGGCCGCCGGGGUCCAAGAACAAGCCCAAGCCGCCCAUCAUCGUGAUCCUGGACAGCCCCAACGUGUUCCACUCCCACAUCCUCGAGGUCGCCGACGGCGCCGACGUCGUCGAGUGCCUCGCCGAGUACGCGCGCCGCCGCAGGCGCGGCGUCUGCGUGCUCAGCGGCGCCGGGGUCGUCACCAACGUCUCGCUUCGUCAGCCCCGCGCGUCGUCGUCGUCGCCUGGCGGCCUCGUUGCCACCCUGCAUGGGCAGUUCGAGAUCCUGUCGCUUACGGGCACGGUGCUGCCGCCGGCGGCACCCCCGGCUGCCAGCAGCCUCGCCGUGUACCUCGCCGGCUGGCAGGGGCAGGUCGUCGGCGGCAGCGUGGUCGGCCAGCUCGUCGCCGCGGGGCCCGUGUUCCUCAUGGCCGCGUCGUUUGCCAAUGCCGUCUACGAGCGUCUGCCGCUGGAGGUGGAGGCAGAGGAGGCCGGCACGGCCACCGCAGCCAGAGAGGCGCAGGGAGAAGGCGCAGCAGGGCAGCCCCCCGGCGCUGUACCGCAGCAGCCUGCGGCGUCGCAGUCGUCGGAGGUGACCGGAGGCGAGGCCGGCGGGCAUGGCAUGCCGUUGUGCAAUCUUGAAGGGAAUGUUGGGAGCUACCAGUUGCCCGGACCCGGAGACAACUUGGGGACCUGGAGCGGCGUCAGGCCAUGAUUGCUUGGACUGUCUUCCAGCAAGGUCGCAUCAGAAUUACUAGGAGAUUUGAAGGAACUGCGGUCGAUCACUGUGGGAAAGCAUUUUGUCUACGGUACGUGUUGCAAGCUUUGCACUUGAGACGAUUUGUGGAGUAUGCAAUGCAUGUAAAAUUAUGGGUCAACGCAUUUUGUGGACUAAGUUUUAGACUUUUUAGUACUCAUGUCGGAAAAAUCUCAUACUACAUCGCCUAGUGUAUCAGUGUCGCAAGAAUUUUUUUUGGAACAAGAACCCGGAAGAAUGAAAGGUUAAGUUGAUGUCCCGGGUUCAUCCUGUAAUAUUUUUUAUCUCGAAUCCGUGGCCUUUUUACAGCAACUUUU